rnacentral:lncRNA from 12 species
AUGGUGGCACAGAUCCAGCACAAAGCUCUUGAUCAAAAGAAGAAGCAGGAUAUGCAUAAGAUCCCAGUCAGGGGAAUUUGCUGCAGCUGUUGUCGGCAAAUCCAUGUCCUGAUACACUCAAGUACCAGAAAAGCAGUAAUCCGCCCUCGGAGUUCCAUAGUGAUGGCUGCACUGUGGAAAGGGAAAGGUAGACUAUGGGUAGAAUGCAUUAUUGAUAAUACUUCAUCAAGAACAGUGAAUCGCAAAUUAAAUGCCUUAGACACGAAAUGCAAUAAACAGCACAUCAAAUAUUUUUGA